AUUUGUAAAAAAACACAACUAAUGAUUUUCAUAAAAGAGACCAACAGCAGAUGAAGUGCGAAACGUUCAGUCAAAUACGCAAACAUAAUCUAUAAAUGAAAUGUAUCGCAUAGAAUAGUCAAGACAAAUAUAAAUUAUCUAGUUUUAUUUCGUUAAAUAAUACAACCACUUUGUUAUUUUUUAAUUGAUGUACAUAAACAUAUUUUAAUUAAACUUUUUUCGCUGCAGUUAUUACACUCUGUGAACGAAGAUGAAAUAAGGGCGCGCAGCAAUCAUAAGACAUCUGUUGUAACCGGUAGUAAUACGGCUUCACCAUCAUUAAAUGACAUUUCAUUACAGAGCCAUAGCAACGCGCCGCCUCCGCACAAUUUGCACAGCAGUAGUAGUGGUGAAGUUUUGGAUGUGGGCUCUUUAAGUAGCCAAAUUACAUCAGAUCCAGUAAACGAUCAAUCCGAUCACAAUGGCGAACGCGAAAACGUCGCUACCACACCACUUUUGCCUAAGCCUAGCGAUACUGCUAACAACAAAUAACAACCAACAACAACCAACUUAACAUCCAACGCUGGUAACCCAAAAGUUUACAUGUGCAUAAGAGUAGAAAACUAGCAAAACCAUUCAACCAUCCUUGUUUUUUUGGUUCUAAGUAUCGCAACGUAUUAACAGCACGCAACCGCCACGCCGUUUACCACCGUCAACAUUUUUACCACGAGCAAUAUAAUGCGUACCAUUAAUACAUACAUACAUAUUUGCAUACUUACAUGUUGAUUCGGUUAUCAGUGCCACAUCCCUAAAACAUUGUACAUAUGUAUGUAAGUGCGAUAUGUACUUAAUUACAAUGAAACAUUUACCUGCGGAUUCAGCAAGUGCAAUGGCUUAACAGUAUGGUCGUUGUCAACUACCGCAAGAUUAUUAACUCUUAUACUUGUUAUACUUAAUUAAUUUUACUAUGCACUUUACUAUGCAACUUUUGAACUUUAGCGAUUGUUCAGAUUUGUUUAGGUUUUCGCUGAACACGUCGUCACCACCCUCUACUUUUUCGUUUUUAAUACUUAGCUUAAGCAUAAAAUCUAAUGAUCAUCAUCAUGCGAAUAACUAAAUGAAUCAUUAAUGCGAAACAAUGUCGAGAGAUACACAAACAAUUUAUGUAUUACAUGCAUACAUAUUUUUUCAACUAACGGAGAUAUAAAUGAUAAUAUUUUUUUAAAACGCAAGAUGUAAUGGUGUAAAUUGUAAAAUACAUUUAGGGCAUGUGCCAAACGAGAACAAAUUUCUGUGGUGAGAAAACUUUUUAUUAUGAUGCGAGAAUUUUUAUUUUCUGCCGAGCCAAUUUACAAGUAAUAUUCCUUUUCUGUCCAAAUAAAGAGGGAUUCAAUUAAAUUUAAAAUACAUAUUUAAUGGGAAGAAUAGUCUGGCGCUAGAUUUAGAUACAUACUUAAAACAAAAAUUUUCCCGCGGAGGCAUAUAUUCAUUUUUAAACUUGUUGUGCACCCUUGAUAUAAAGUGUAUAUGAACAUUGCGCUCUUCUUCAUUCUGCUGUUUAUGGCUUUAUGUUUAAAUUCGCUAUCAAAGUUUUUACUAGUCCUUUGUGAUCGCCAUAUUCUAUUGACCUCAAAUGUGAAAAAUUUCUAUUCCAGAUAACUUGACUAGCGUCUGGCACAGGCCCUAAUUA
rnacentral:lncRNA from 1 species